rfam:Nippostrongylus brasiliensis genome assembly, scaffold: NBR_scaffold0000017
GAACACUUCAAAAAAUUGGUGAUAUGUUGGCUGUAUAUCCAACAUAUCACCAAUUUUUUGAAGUGUUCUC